rnacentral:rRNA from 1 species
UGGGAAUAUUGGACAAUGGGCGCAAGCCUGAUCCAGCCAUGCCGCGUGAGUGAUGAAGGCCUUAGGGUUGUAAAGCUCUUUCGGCGGGGACGAUAAUGACGGUACCCGCAGAAGAAGCCCCGGCUAACUUCGUGCCAGCAGCCGCGGUAAUACGAAGGGGGCUAGCGUUGCUCGGAAUCACUGGGCGUAAAGGGCGCGUAGGCGGACAUUUAAGUCGGGGGUGAAAGCCCAGGGCUCAACCCUGGAAUUGCCUCCGAUACUGGGUGUCUCGAGACCGGAAGAGGUGAGUGGAACUGCGAGUGUAGAGGUGAAAUUCGUAGAUAUUCGCAAGAACACCAGUGGCGAAGGCGGCUCACUGGUCCGGUUCUGACGCUGAGGCGCGAAAGCGUGGGGAGCAAACAGGAUUAGAUACCCUGGUAGUCCACGCCGUAAACGAUGGAUGCUAGCCGUUGGCAGGCUUGCCUGUCAGUGGCGCAGCUAACGCUUUAAGCAUCCCGCCUGGGGAGUACGGCCGCAAGGUUAAAACUCAAAGGAAUUGAC